GUAGUCAUAUGCUUGUCUCAAAGAUUAAGCCAUGCAUGUCUCAGUACAAGCCAAAUUAAGGUGAAACCGCGAAAGGCUCAUUAAAUCAGUUAUGGUUCCUUAGAUCGUACCCACAAUUACUUGGAUAACUGUGGUAAUUCUAGAGCUAAUACAUGCAAACAGAGCUCCGACCGGAGACGGAAGGAGUGCUUUUAUUAGAUCAAAACCAAUCGGUGGCGAGUUCGCUCGUCAUCGUACAACUUGGUGACUCUGAAUAACUUUACGCUGAUCGCACGGUCUCGCACCGGCGACGCAUCUUUCAAAUGUCUGCCUUAUCAACUGUCGAUGGUAGGUUCUGCGCCUACCAUGGUUGUAACGGGUAACGGGGAAUCAGGGUUCGAUUCCGGAGAGGGAGCCUGAGAAACGGCUACCACAUCCAAGGAAGGCAGCAGGCGCGCAAAUUACCCACUCCCGGCACGGGGAGGUAGUGACGAAAAAUAACGAUACGGGACUCAUCCGAGGCCCCGUAAUCGGAAUGAGUACACUCUAAACCCUUUAACGAGGAUCAAUUGGAGGGCAAGUCUGGUGCCAGCAGCCGCGGUAAUUCCAGCUCCAAUAGCGUAUAUUAAAGU
rnacentral:rRNA from 1 species